GAUGAAGAACGUAGCGAAAUGCGAUAAGUAAUGUGAAUUGCAGAAUUCAGUGAAUCAUCGAAUCUUUGAACGCAUCUUGCGCUCCUUGGUAUUCCUUGGAGCAUGCCUGUUUGAGUAUCAUGAGCAAAUCUCAAAGUCAAUUCCUUUUGUUAAUUCAAUUGGUUUUGCUUUGGACUUGGAGGUCUUGCAGAUUUCACAGUCUGCUCCUCUUAAAUGCAUUAGCUGGAUCUCAGUAAUUAUGCUUGGUUCCACUCGGCGUGAUAAGUAUCACUCGCUGAGGACACUGUUAAAAAGGUGGCCAGGAAAAUACUGAUUGAACCGCUUCUAACGGUCUAUUAAGUUAGACAAUUACCCUUAAGUUUGAUCUCAAAUCAGGUAGGACUACCCGCUGAACUUAAGCAUAUCAAUAAGCGGAGGA
rnacentral:misc_RNA from 1 species